GACGAACGCUGGCGGCGUGCUUAACACAUGCAAGUCGAACGGAAAGGCCCUGCUUUUGUGGGGUGCUCGAGUGGCGAACGGGUGAGUAACACGUGAGUAACCUGCCCUUGACUUUGGGAUAACUUCAGGAAGCUGGGGCUAAUACCGGAUAGGAGCUCCUGCAGCAUGGUGGGGGUUGGAAAGUUUCGGCGGUUGGGGAUGGACUCGCGGCUUAUCAGCUUGUUGGUGGGGUAGUGGCUUACCAAGGCUUUGACGGGUAGCCGGCCUGAGAGGGUGACCGGCCACAUUGGGACUGAGGUACGGCCCAGACUCCUACGGGAGGCAGCAGUGGGGAAUAUUGCACAAUGGGCGGAAGCCUGAUGCAGCAGCGCCGCGUGCGGGAUGACGGCCUUCGGGUUAUAAACCGCUUUCACCUGUGACGAAGCGUGAGUGACGGUAAUGGGUAAAGAAGCACCGGCUAACUACGUG
rnacentral:rRNA from 1 species